GGGAUAGAGCGGCUUGGAGGGAGUGGGCGGAGUCCCGUACGACACCCAGCCCCCCUCCGGAGCCCAACCCCCCCUGGAGGCGGCUGUUGGCUGCAGGAGCUGAAGGAGACCCCCGGGGCCCCCCCCCGCGACGCCGCCUGUGGGAGACCCACAGCUGUGGGGCAGGCGGGGCUGUGCCGCGCUCACUACGCGGAAUACCUGGUGCGGCUCAUCAACGAGCGCGGUUUGGACCCGGCCAGCGCGUAGCGGAGGCGCCGAACUCCGCGCCGCCGCAGAGCGCCACCUGCCGGCCGGGCGGCCUCCGCAGGGCGACGCCGAAAGCGACGCGGAGUACGCAGUGCGCCUGCGCGAACUACUGGCGCGGGAAGCGCCCGUGGAGCCCCGCCCAUCCCGGCCUAGCCCCGCCCCUUAAUCCCCGCUUCGAAUAAACUGCGCGUGCGCGCCGAG
rnacentral:lncRNA from 7 species